rnacentral:rRNA from 1 species
GUGCCAGCAGCCGCGGUAAUACGUAGGCAGCAAGCGUUGUUCGGAAUUACUGGGCGUAAAGAGUGUGUAGGUGGUGUCGUAAGUUUGGUGUGAAAUCUCCCGGCUUAACUGGGAGGGUGCGCCGAAGACUGCGAUGCUGGAGUAAGGGAGAGGAAAGCGGAAUUCCUGGUGUAGCGGUGAAAUGCGUAGAUAUCAGGAGGAACACCUNNGGUGUAGACGGNUUNCUGGACCAUCACUGACACUGAGACACGAAAGCGUGGGUAGCAAACA